GGAUGUGAGGCCAUCUGGUUGUGACGUCUGUCACCCUGUUCAGCUAAACUGGCUGACUGGGCAGGUGUCUCCUCCCUCCCGCACAGCUCCAUGUACGGCCCUCCCGAAGCUGUGCGCUGGGUCGAAGUGGAUGACCAUCCCCGAUAGAAGAGAACCAGUCUUUGGUCAAGGGUAUAUGAGUAGCUGUGCUCUCUGCUAGAACCUCCAAGUAAAAGGCACUCAAUCGUGUCUGAGUCUUUGCGACCCCAUGGACUGUACAGUCCGU
rnacentral:snRNA from 1 species